CCCAAUUACAUACAAUGGCCUGUUACUCAUAAUUAAAAACAUCUUGUCCUCUGCUUUACCUUAACAUGUUACCAAGUACUUUCAUUUAUGUAGUAUUCUGUCUGUAUAGCAAUCUGUCUGUCUCCCUGUCUAAGCCCUCAUGUGUCUCUUGGGCUAUACAGGGCUUUGUUUGUGGAGGGUGAAACAAACUAAAGCAAAACAAAUACAUGUCUGGAAAAAGAGAGAUGGGAAACGUAGCAGACAGACACACAUGUGUUAAAAACCCUUAAAACAACGUCAGCAGAACCGUACUCAAACACAAAUGGACGUACCCUCACCCCAUCUCCGCCUUCCUUCCAUAGUCUCUGCUACUCUUCUCCUCCACCUCCUCCUCCACCUCUCCUUCACCCCUGGCUAUCUCAUGCCCAACCCACUCCAUCCACUAAAUAAUAGAAUAACAGGAUUUACAAUGUCCCUAAAUUCACACUAUGAUCCACUGUCUGUGUUUGUUGUUUACAGGAGCAGCCGCAGCAGGGGAAGCGUGGCCUUCUGGGUCAUAAGGCACAGCCCACCGUCGUCUGCUUUAAAAGAGGAAACAGGCUUCACAGGCCUCCUCAUUAUUCUGUCUGUUCUAGCGUGUUGCGUCGGAGGCCUGGCAUCUCGCAGUGACUACUACUGAAUGCCUGGACUCUCUUCACUGUUAAGCAGCCAGCAACCCAUCACCGAUUUAAAUAAUUUGUCUAUAUGUAUGUAUGUAUGUAUGUAUGUAUGUAUGUAUGUAUGUAUGUAUGUAUGUAUGUAUGUAUGUAUGUAUGUAUGUAUGUAUGUAUGUAUGUAUGUAUGUAUGUACAUCAAUUAUGGCACCCAUUACACUCCUGAUUUUCUUGCCCUCUUGGGGGCUAGGCUCAGGGGGGGUAUCAUAAAUAUAUGGCCUGUUAAGCCCUUUGAGACUGUACCUGUGAUUCAGGGCUAUACAUAUCAAAUUGAAUUGAGUUAAGUGCCACCAUUUAGCGCAAUCCUCUGUGGUUCAGUGUGUUAUCGUUAAUCAUUUUGAAAUGUAUUCCUCCACUCCUUGGCCAAUCGAGUGACCCAGGGUUUCUCGAUAUACACUGAACAACGUCAGCAUGGGCCCAAGUUUUAAUGACUUUAUCUUGUAAAAUAUUUGCUUGAAUAAUCUUGUCGGUAGAGCCCGUUGGGAAUGAUCUGCCUCAUUAAGCGGUGUGUAAUGAACCGAACGUUAGGUGCUUCAGAG
rnacentral:lncRNA from 1 species